UAGGGAAUCUUCCACAAUGGACGCAAGUCUGAUGGAGCAACGCCGCGUGAGUGAAGAAGGCUUUCGGGUCGUAAAACUCUGUUAUUGAAGAAGAACGUGUGUGACAGUAACUGGUCAUGCAGUGACGGUAUUCAAUCAGAAAGUCACGGCUAACUACGUGCCAGCAGCCGCGGUAAUACGUAGGUGGCAAGCGUUGUCCGGAUUUAUUGGGCGUAAAGCGAGUGCAGGCGGUCUUUUAAGUCUGAUGUGAAAGCCUUCGGCUUAACCGAAGAAGGGCAUCGGAAACUGGGAGACUUGAGUGCAGAAGAGGAGA
rnacentral:rRNA from 1 species